AUCCAGCUGGAGAGUCUCAAAUAGGACGAAACGCUCGUCAAACUGGAU
rfam:Schistosoma mansoni strain Puerto Rico chromosome W, complete genome